CUGGCGCAUGCGCGGUGAAUUAUUGUAACGUUGGCAGUUGAUUUAGUGAUUUUUAUAAUUUUUCUGUUUGUUACACUGAACAAUCAAACGUGAAUUUCCGUUUCCGUCAUCUCUGAUCUUGUCGCAGCUUCUGUACACUUGAUUAGACUGCUAACUCUUUACGAUAAUUGCCGCCAGCUUUAUAAUUCUUCUAUUAUGAAAGGCAACAUACAAACAAAAA